AAUGGACAUAUAUAACCCAAUUGACAAAAAAAUGUGUGGCUUCAACGUCCGCUAAAAUAUUUAGACAAUGAUUCGGAAUCAUAUCAUAAAUAAGAUCAACAUUAAUAAAAUAAAUUGUUUUUGGCAGGAUGUAUUUGACGGGACGGAUUUUUGAAUCAAUAUU
rnacentral:sRNA from 1 species